CGGAGAUUGCUGAGUCUUUUGGUAAUAUGGAAGUGACUGAUGAGUCUCCUGAUCAGAAGCCAGGACAAUUUGAAAGAGACUUGUCGACGAGAAGCAAAGAAUUCAAAGAGUUUGAUCAGGACUUUGACUCUGUUCUCGGUAAGGAUUCGCCGGCGAAAUUUCCAGGUGAAUCAGGAGUUGUUUUCCCGGUGGGCUUUGGUGACGAGUCAGGAGCUGAGCUGGAAAAAGAUUUUCCGACGAGAAGUCAUGAUUUUGAUAUGAAGACUGAAACUGGAAUGGACACGAAUUCUCCAUCAAGAAGCCAUGAAUUUGAUCUGAAGACUGAAUCUGGAAACGACAAGAAUUCUCCGAUGGGCUUUGGUAGUGAAUCAGGAGCUGAGCUGGAAAAAGAAUUUGAUCAGAAGAACGAUUCUGGAAGAAACGAGUAUUCGCCGGAAUCUGACGGCGGUUUAGGAGCUCCGUUGGGAGGAAAUUUUCCGGUGAGAAGUCAUGAGUUGGAUCUGAAGAACGAAUCUGAUAUCGACAAGGAUGUGCCGACGGGAUUUGACGGAGAACCAGAUUUUCUGGCGAAGGGAAGACCUGGAUACGGUGAGGCAUCAGAAGAGGAUAAAUUUCCGGCGAGAAGUGAUGAUGUGGAAGUAGAGACUGAGCUGGGAAGAGACCCAAAGACGGAGACUCUUGAUCAAUUCUCACCGGAACUUUCUCAUCCUAAAGAAAGAGAUGAGUUUAAGGAGUCCAGAGAUGAUUUUGAGGAGACGAGAGAUGAGAAAACAGAGGAGCCAAAACAGAGCACUUACACAGAGAAGUUUGCUUCAAUGCUAGGUUACUCCGGAGAAAUUCCGGUGGGAGAUCAAACUCAAGUGGCGGGAACUGUUGAUGAGAAGUUGACUCCGGUCAAUGAGAAGGAUCAAGAAACAGAGUCUGCCGUGACGACGAAGUUACCUAUCUCCGGAGGUGGAAGUGGAGUAGAGGAGCAACGAGGGGAAGAUAAAAGUGUGUCGGGUAGAGAUUAUGUGGCGGAGAAACUGACAACUGAAGAAGAAGACAAAGCCUUUUCUGAUAUGGUUGCCGAGAAACUUCAGAUUGGAGGAGAAGAAGAGAAGAAGGAAACGACGACAAAGGAAGUGGAGAAGAUCUCUACCGAGAAGGCAGCAUCGGAGGAGGGUGAGGCGGUGGAAGAGGAAGUGAAAGGAGGAGGAGGAAUGGUUGGGAGGAUUAAAGGAUGGUUCGGUGGUGGUGCGACUGAUGAGGUGAAGCCAGAAUCGCCACAUUCUGUUGAAGAGGCUCCAAAAUCAUCUGGCUGGUUUGGUGGUGGUGCGACGGAGGAGGUGAAGCCAAAAUCGCCUCAUUCCGUUGAAGAGUCUCCACAAUCACUUGGCUCCACUGUUGUUCCGGUGCAGAAGGA
rnacentral:lncRNA from 1 species